AUACCUUUCUCGGCCUUUUGGCUAAGAUCAAGUGUAGUAUUUGUUUUUAUCAGUUUAAUAUCUGAUAUGUAGACCAUUGGUCUACACGAUAUUAAAUUUAUUUUUUGAGGGGAAGGCCCAUUAAAGUAGCUUGCUACUUGGGCCUUUGUGUGUCGCCCAUGUGUUGCACUAUUGCUUGGGUCUGGCGUACCCCAC